rnacentral:tRNA from 1 species
ACUUGAAUAGCUUAUAGUAUUAAGAGCGCGACACUGAAGAUGUCGAUGAGGUAUUUUAUUGCCUUUAAGUG